GAGGGUAGAGCUCAGUGGUAGAGCACGUGCUUAGCAAGCACAGGUCCUGGGUUCAACCCCCAGCACCUCCA
rnacentral:tRNA from 1 species